CCUACGGGAGGCAGCAGUGGGGAAUCUUGCGCAAUGGGCGAAAGCCUGACGCAGCCAUGCCGCGUGAAUGAUGAAGGUCUUAGGAUUGUAAAAUUCUUUCACCGGGGACGAUAAUGACGGUACCCGGAGAAGAAGCCCCGGCUAACUUCGUGCCAGCAGCCGCGGUAAUACGAAGGGGGGCUAGCGUUGCUCGGAAUUACUGGGCGUAAAGGGAGCGUAGGCGGAUAGUUUAGUCAGAGGUGAAAGCCCAGGGCUCAACCUUGGAAUUGCCUUUGAUACUGGCUAUCUUGAGUGUGGGAGAGGUUAGCGGAACUCCGAGUGUAGAGGUGAAAUUCGUAGAUAUUCGGAAGAACACCAGUGGCGAAGGCGGCUAACUGGCCCAUUACUGACGCUGAGGCUCGAAAGCGUGGGGAGCAAACAGGAUUAGAUACCCUGGUAGUCCACGCCGUAAACGAUGAGUGCUAGUUGUCGGCAUGCAUGCAUGUCGGUGACGCAGCUAACGCAUUAAGCACUCCGCCUGGGGAGUACGGUCGCAAGAUUAAAACUCAAAUGAAUUGACGG
rnacentral:rRNA from 1 species